rnacentral:rRNA from 1 species
CCUACGGGCGGCUGCAGUGGGGGAUAUUGCACAAUGGGGGGAACCCUGAUGCAGCGACGCCGCGUGGGUGAAGGAGUGCUUCGGCAUGUAAAGCUCUAUCGGCAGGGAAGAAGCAAGACGGUACCUGACUAAGAAGCCCGGGCUAACUACGUGCCAGCAGCCGCGGUAAUACGGAGGGGCCGAGCGUUAUCCGAAUUAACGGGGUGUAACGGGGGCGUAGACGGCCAUGCAGGCCAGGGGUGAAAGCCCGGGGCCCACCCCCGGGACUGCCCUUGGAACUGCAUGGCUGGAGGGCGGGAGGGGCAGGCGGAAUUCCUGGUGUAGCGGUGAAAUGCGUAGAUAUCAGGAGGAACACCGGCGGCGAAGGCGGCCUGCUGGACCGCGACUGACGUUGAGGCUCGAAAGCGUGGGGAGCGAACAGGAUUAGAUACCCUUGUAGUC